rnacentral:tRNA from 1 species
GAAAAAGUAUGCAAGAACUGCUAAUUCAUGCUUCCGUGUGUAAAUACACGGCUCUUUCA